UGGACGUCGACUUCGGGUCUGGAAAAUGAAGCCAAUGCGGAAGUGUCUUAAACUUGCAUUCUAGCCAAUGACCGUCAUGGCAACUCGAUUGUAUUGAAGUCCAUGGGGAAAUUACUCUACUUGUCAAUUGAGUUGUUACCUCAGUAAACGUUUUCGUUAUAUGUUUAUGGUCUGAAUCGCUAGUUUGAAGUUUUAUUCAAUACAAUAUGAUGUUAAUUUUUUCUAAUUAUGGUCCUAUUUAAAAGAAAAUAGACGUUAAAGCAGAGUGGUGGUUUUACGGCGUGGCUACACACACAAGGGAACCUGUUGUUUGCCUGCAAAUUUCUUGUUCUGCUUCAGUUGUUCUCAAAGACACUCAGAGGAGUCGGCGGUUCAAUUUUUUCCGGUUUCCACACUGUGAAAACUGAGUGAUCUGUGCCAACAGAAGGAGGACCUCAUGUACAGAGCAGCCCAUUAGUUUCCAUUCAUCUGGUUGAAGGGAGACUGCAUGGACAUCCUUAGCUCUCUAAUGUGCUGUGAUGAUGAUGAUGAUGAUGAUGCUAGAAAACCUCCCAGUUCAUCUUCCUCUGAUGAAAUGACAGACUAACUGCUGAUGAGUUUGUUUAUUAUUCUCUGUCUUCAGUAUUCACAGGUUCAGUUUCUUACCUGCAGCUUCACUUCUGCUGUUGUCGACAGGUGAUGGUAGCAACACUUUUAAGAUCAGAAUUUAUAAAUAUUAAACUGUGAACAAGUGAUGGAUCAUCUCUAGCACUGUCACCACCUCCACAGGUGAAAGUAUUUACCAAUUAACAUCAGCAUGUUAGGGUAGAAAUAGCGGGUUGUCUUCCCUCCCAGAGACCAGGAGAGGCAGCCCAGGUGACAGUUCAAGGCAGCGACGGGGAAGAACACCUCCUGUCCUGGGAAGGAGAGUCUCCAGAGGUGCUGGCCAGACUCUCCCUUCAGCAAAGGGUCUGUACCCAGGACCAGAGCCUACAGGAAGAGGAAGGCGACCUGAAGCUGCCGUGGCAGAGCGGGGGCCGCUGCCUGGAGGAAAAACCCACUGACUGGCACAAACUCUUUAGUGUGAACUGAACACUGACAGUUCAGAUUGUGAAGCAGGUGUCAGUGUAGUACAGCUCAUGUUCAUUAGUUUUAUUCAGAACUUCAUUGUUGUCAUUGAAAAGGUGUUUAAUAAAUAAA